GACGAACGCUGGCGGCGUGCUUGACACAUGCAAGUCGAACGAUGAAGCUGGAGCUUGCUCUGGCGGAUUAGUGGCGAACGGGUGAGUAACACGUGAGAAAUCUGCCCUUGACUCUGGGAUAACUGCGGGAAACUGUAGCUAAUACCGGAUACUUUCCCUGGUGGGCAUCCACUGGGGAAGAAAGAAUUUCGGUCAAGGAUGAUCUCGCGGCCUAUCAGCUUGUUGGUGAGGUAAUGGCUCACCAAGGCGACGACGGGUAGCCGGCCUGAGAGGGUGACCGGCCACACUGGGACUGAGACACGGCCCAGACUCCUACGGGAGGCAGCAGUGGGGAAUAUUGCACAAUGGGCGCAAGCCUGAUGCAGCAACGCCGCGUGAGGGAUAAAGGCCUUCGGGUUGUAAACCUCUUUUAGCAGGGAAGAAGCGAAAGUGACGGUACCUGCAGAAAAAGCACCGGCUAACUACGUGCCAGCAGCCGCCGUAA
rnacentral:rRNA from 1 species